rnacentral:rRNA from 1 species
CAAGUCGAACGCGAAAGUCCCCUUCGGGGGACAAGUAGAGUGGCGUCCGGGUGAGUAACACGUAGGUAAUCUACCUUCGGGUGGGGAAUAACGCAGGGAAACUUGCGCUAAUACCGCAUAAUGCAGCGGCACCACAUGGUGACAGUUGUUAAAGCGGGGGAUUUUUGGACCUCGCGCCUGAAGAGGAGCCUGCGGCAGAUUAGCUAGUUGGUAGGGUAACGGCUUACCAAGGCGACGAUCUGUAGCCGGCCUGAGAGGGCGGUCGGCCACACUGACACUGACAUACGGGUCAGACUCCUACGGGAGGCAGCAGUCGGGAAUUUUGGGCAAUGGGCGAAAGCCUGACCCAGCAACGCCGCGUGAAGGAUGAAAUCCCUCGGGAUGUAAACUUCGCAAGAAUAGGAAGAAUGAACGAACGCUAAUACCGUUCGUGAUGACGGUACUAUUUGUAAGCUCCGGCUAACUCCGUGCCAGCAGCCGCGGUAAUACGGGGGGAGCAAGCGUUGUUCGGAUUUACUGGGCGUAAAGGGCGCGUAGGCGGCCAGCGCAAGUCAGUUGUGAAAUCUCCGGGCUUAACUCGGAAAGGUCAACUGAUACUGCGCGGCUAGAGUGCAGAAGGGGCAACUGGAAUUCUCGGUGUAGCGGUGAAAUGCGUAGAUAUCGAGAGGAACACCUGCGGCGAAGGCGGGUUGCUGGGCUGACACUGACGCUGAUGCGCGAAAGCCAGGGGAGCGAACGGGAUUAGAUACCCCGGUAGUCCUGGCCUUAAACGAUGGAUGCUUGGUGUCUGGAGUUUUAUAGUCUCCGGGUGCCGUAGCUAACGCGUUAAGCAUCCCGCC